UACAGAGGUCCCGAGCGUUGUUCGGAUUCACUGGGCGUAAAGGGUGCGUAGGUGGUGAGGUAAGUCGGAUGUGAAAUCUCCGGGCUCAACCCGGAAAUGACAUUGGAAACUACCUUGCUAGAGGAUUUGAGGGGGGAUUGGAAUACUUGGUGUAGCAGUGAAAUGCGUAGAUAUCAAGUGGAACACCAGUGGCGAAGGCGAAUCCCUGGAAAAUACCUGACACUGAGGCACGAAAGCUAGGGGAGCGAACGGG
rnacentral:rRNA from 1 species